rnacentral:misc_RNA from 1 species
GUUCUGCCUUUCUGACUGCUGCAUGGGUUGAUCUGGUGGCUGGGUUUAUUGUUUUGGCUUGUUUACUUGUUUUCUUUUGUCCUUUCAUGUUAUUUCUGGCCUUGAAGGAAGGAUUUGGAUGGUGGCCACUUUGAUGAAUUUUGUGACUAGGGUGUUAUGAGUAUCAACUACAGUUACUUAGAAUAUGGUAAAUUUUUGUUGCAGUAUAGGUACAUGUAUGUGUUGUUCAACUUAACUUGGUCUGUGGACUCUGCCUGCCGAGGGUGGUGGACUAGGUUGGCAUGUUAAUUUGGAUUGCA